AAAUCCCCGGGUUCACCUGGGGAAUGGCAAUGGGAUACUGGAUAGCUAGAGUGUGAUAGAGGAUGGUGGAAUUCCCCGGUGUAGCGGUGAAAUGCGUAGAGAUCGGGAGGAACAUCAGUGGGAAGGCGGCCAUUGGAUAAAAAAAAAAAAUGAGGCACGAAAGCGUGGGGAGCAAACAGGAUUAGAUACCCUGGUAGUCCACGCCCUAAACGAUGCGAACUGGAUGUUGGUCUCAACUCGGAGAUCAGUGUCGAAGCUAACGCGUUAAGUUCGCCGCCUGGGGAGUACGGUCGCAAGACUGAAACUCAAAGGAAUUGACGGGGGCCCGCACAAGGGGAGGAGUAUGUGGUUUAAUUCGAGCAACGCGAAG
rnacentral:rRNA from 1 species